rnacentral:rRNA from 1 species
CUCGUAGGCGGCCAACUAAGUCAUACGUGAAAUCCCUCAGCUUAACUGGGGAACUGCGUGUGAUACUGGAUGGCUUGGAUUUGGGAGAGGGAUGCGGAAUUCCAGGUGUAGCGGUGAAAUGCGUAGAUAUCUGGAGGAACACCGGUGGCGAAGGCGGCAUCCUGGACCAAUAUUGACGCUGAGGAGCGAAAGCUAGGGGAGCAACG